rnacentral:rRNA from 1 species
CCUACGGGAGGCAGCAGUCGAGAAUCAUUCACAAUGGGGGAAACCCUGAUGGGGCGACGCCGCGUGGGGGAAUGAAGGUCUGCGGAUUGUAAACCCCUGUCAUGUGGGAGCAAAUUAAAAAGAUAGUACCACAAGAGGAAGAGACGGCUAACUCUGUGCCAGCAGCCGCGGUAAUACAGAGGUCUCAAGCGUUGUUCGGAAUCACUGGGCGUAACGCGUGCGUAGGCUGUGUCGUAAGUCGUGUGUGAAAGGCGCGGGCUCAACCCGCGGACGGCACAUGAUACUGCGAGACUAGAGUAAUGGAGGGGGAACCGGAAUGCUCGGUGUAGCAGUGAAAUGCGUAGAUAUCGAGAGGAACACUCGUGGCGAAGGCGGGUUCCUGGACAUUAACUGACGCUGAGGCACGAAGGCCAGGGGAGCGAAAGGGAUUAGAUACCCGGGUAGUC